rnacentral:lncRNA from 1 species
GGAAAUGUCUAUAAUUUAAAUACCCUGAUUACAUGAAAGCUUUAAGAGGUCAAAAUUAGAGAUUAUGUUGAAAGUUGACAAAAUUUUCUGGUUUUCAACCAUAUGUGGUACAGUGUUUGGGCGACAUUAACCAUUAAUAUAUCUGCACUUAAUGUUUUUUUUUAUCCUUAAAACCUCCACAUCAUUUGGUCUAAGACUCUGUAGCUGUAGG